GCUGGGGAGUCCAAUGCUCCGCCCUAGUCUCCGCAGGUCAAUACUGUUGCUGAUUUUUUGUGCAAGAUAGGUACCAAGCUAACAAUGCACAACCAAUUUCAAGUAAUGACAACCCUAACAACUCAAGUCUUGCCACUUAAUCAAACUGAUCAACAAGGAAUCUCUUCUACAAAGCUAGUAUCUAGAGCUAUUUGUAAUAAGUUAGCUAGUUAUGGUAAUCUAUCUGUAUUAUCUAGUGCUCAACACACUAUUAUUAUCUCUGUGCCUGUUAUGACUUAGUAUUAUAUAUAUAAAAAUUCCAGUUAUCCGAAAAAAAAGAACAGUUCAUUAAGAAAUAUCUUUCUGUGAGAUUACAUACAUUCUUUAUUUCCUUCACACCUUAUAACUUUAAAAACAAAUCAAACGCAGCUGCGCUUCUCUUUUGCUGAGCUGCAGGGAUGCUUUUCUUGUUAAUUUGGAGCUUUUAAGGGGAUAAUGAAGC
rnacentral:lncRNA from 1 species